AGAUUUUUCUAAAAGAUUACUAAGAUUUACGAAAAAUGGUUAAAAAUUGACUAUAAAGGGCAAUAACUCCUUAAGGGGUCAACUGACCAUUUCGGUCAUGUUGACUUAUUUGUAAAUCUUACUUUGCUGAACAUUAUUGCUGUUUAUAGUUUAUCUCUAUCUAUAAUAAUAUUCAAGAUAAUAACCAAAAACAGCAAAAUUUCCAUAAAAUUACAAAUUCAGUGGCAGCAACCCAUCAACGGGUUGUCCGAUUCAUCUGAAAAUUUCUGGGCAGAUAGAUCUUGACCUGAUAAACAAUUUUACCCCUGUCAGAUUUGCUCUAAAUGCUUUGGUUUUUGAGUUAUAAGCCAAAAACUGCAUUUUACCCCUAUGUUCUAUUUUUAGCCAUGGCGGCCAUCUUGGUUGGUUGGCGGGGUCACCGGACACAUUUUUUAAACUAGAUACCCCAAUGAUGAUUGUGGCCAAGUUUGAUUAAAUUUGGCUUAGUAGUUUCAGAGGAGAAGAUUUUUGUAAAAGUUAACGACGACGGACGCAGGACGACGACGGACGCCGGACGCAAAGUGAUGGGAAAAGCUCACUUGGCCCUUCGGGCCAGGUGAGCUAAAAAAUGACAAAAAAUAUUCAAAACUUUGAUAAAAUUUUUUUGCAAAAUUAUAAAUUUGUAUUGGGAUUCCUUUUUUUUUUUUAUACAAAAAAGCUUCUGUCAUGUUUGUCCAUUUUUUAAAAUCCAUAAAUGUGUGACACAGUAAUGGAUGUAUGAAAAACUUUAACGUUGAACUGUAUCUUAAUGCUAACUGCUAAUUUUACAACAAACUCAAAAUUACUCAAAACAUAAAAUUUCUUACAAAGAAAAAAGCACUUAUAUGCAAGUUAUACACACAUAUUCAAACUCUCUCACAGGAAGAAAUAACACGAGUCAUAAUUUUUAAUAUAUUUUCCUCUUUAAUCUAAUAAUAUAGAGAGCUAACCUCUUGUAAUAAAAGUAUUUAUGGAUUUAUAACUCCUGUUGCUGCUGUUAUUACAUUUCAUGUUUUUAAGAUUCAGUAGUUCUGAGGCUUUUUCACAAAAAAUUCUUGUCACAAAAAAAAAAUCUUAAAGACAAAAAUUGAUCAAAUGCUUUAUUGAAUAGUUUAUCACAUAAUUUUUUUGUAAGAUUUUUUUGUGAAAUGAGUCCCUGAAUAUAUAAACAAAAAUAUCUAUAUAACAUAAAAUAGCAACAAGAUCUAAAAUAAAAACAGGAUUUAACACACAAUGAGAAAAUUUACAUGAUAAACGAGAGGCUUAAGAGACAGGAUAUGCAUAUUUAUACCAAAAGUCAUACUUUUUGGUACAAAUGGAAAAUAAUCACUGGUAUGGGUAUUUGCAUACUGAACACUCAAAAGUAAGCCUAAAUGGAAAGGCAGACAAUACCCCUCAUAAACAUCUCUGCUUAAGGAUGUUCGCUACUCUGUUAAAAAAUAACAAGCUUUUUAAAAGACUAUUAUGAAUUGAUAGUAUAUUAAUAAAGAAACUCAAAAAGUAGAAAAAAAUGGAUGGUCCGUGUGCUCAUUAAUGAGAUAUAAGCCAUUGAAAAUUUGGCGGGAAAUAAUUCUCACUAGAAUUUUCAUAUAUUUAACAUUGGCACCUUAUUUGUUUCAAAAACUAUGAAAAAAUAACAAGAAUUUUAUAAAAUUUUGAAAAAUGGCUUCUUAAACUUUAU
rnacentral:lncRNA from 1 species